GUCAAAACAUAGCCAGGAUCUCGGAUAUCAGUCAUCGUAACUAAUCACUGAAAGACAUCGUUAGAAAUUGUAAGGUCAUAAUGUUCACACGUAAACGUUUAACAAUUAAGUGAUAUUUGGCGUACUUAGGAAAUGUGAGCAGAUAUGGACAUUUCGAGGCCCGUUCUAGUUGUUUGAUAUAAAAGACAAAAAUGAAAAAAGAACAGUUUUUUUGUGAAUUAUUUCAAGUUUAUUUCAUUUAUUUUGUCCUAAUAAAUUAUUCCAUUUUCUGCACUUAAGUAUGAGGAAACAAUUCUAAUUUCUGGGUCAUGUAAUUUGACACCCUUCGGAUGAGUUUUUAUUGCAAAUAAAGUAAACACAGGACAGGCUUAAUUAAGAAUCAAACGAUUUCGGCAAACGAUUUAUUUACGCUUUGUAGUUUCUAGAAAAAAAAUAAAACAAUAACAAUUAUUUUUUUUAAUUUCCAUUGUAUUUUAUGAAAACUAAGUUAAUGUGUGACCUAUAGUGAUAAUCAUAAAUCCGGAAUAAUUAUAGUGUUUGUAAACAAAUUCCUGAGUGUAUAGAUCUACCCAUUUGCUCUAUAAAACAUAGGGUUCAGUACUAGAGUGAAGACAGCCAUUUAGUAACCAAGAAAAGGCCUUUUUUAAGUUACAAGCUCAAGUGUAGAAAAGUAUGCAUAUUAAAUAUUGACUUUAGGCGGAAGUUGUUAUUAUUUUCGAAAUCCGUUUUGUUUUUCAAACGACUAUAUGAAUGCGCACGAGUCGCAUACAAUACGGUUUUACUGUUAAAGUUUUCUCUGAUUUUUAAGAUCAUCACAAAAUUACAGCUACGGAGAGAGGGGUGAAUUUAGCUAAUAUUAGUCGAUUAGAUCAAAAUUGUCUCUUGAUUGUAUAGUAAAAAUAUAAGUGACUGUAACCUGGAUAACAUACGCUCUGUCUUGCAGCUCGAUGACCAUUACGAAUUUACAAUUGAGUAACGUACCAUGGAGUUCAAAGAGGAUUUUGAUUUCAAGAAAGUUUUGAACACGGUCUUUGACACGUUGAAAAAAGAUGACACAGAAGAUUAUGACAAACUCGAAGAAGACCCAGAAAAAGAAAAACUGCCGAGAUUAAAAUAAAGGAAACAUACGACAAAUAUGUUCACAUGCUGAAACAUGCAAACACACUGGACGAAGCGCUUGCACAUCUGUCCCCGGAAAGACAAGAAUUGAUUAGAACAGUCUUUGAUUGUCAUAGUUUCAAAGUUGAUAUCCAGCGAGAGAAAGAUGGGUCCAUACAUAUUCUAUUCGAAUUGAUCACAGGAUCCAAGCUUUCAUUUCUUCCCUCCCUCGUGAAGCUAGAUGAGACAAAUUAAUAUGCAAAAUAUGACAAGUGGCUUGUUGCUAGAAUCAUUGUUGAAAUCUAACUUCUAGUCCUGAAGUUUGUCGGUUUCACCGGGGUAUUUUCGGAUACAGUUUAAUAUUGGCGAAGCGAUAAAGUAUAUUUCCGACUCAUUUGUUGCAGUGGACAGAGUUAUAGCUGACGUAAAGGAAUUGAUUGCUGAUGCAAAAUCACAUAAUGCUGGUUUGAUUGAAAUGGAUAUAACUACAAUAUUAAUCGACAUGUUGGUUGUUUUGGCAGGACCAGUCAUCAGGGUUUCAAAAUCUUAGUCCAAAGUCUGUCUUGGUUCAGUAUCAUCAUUAUUGUUUGCCACGCGUUAUGUUUCAACAUUAUUUCCACUCUGUCAGGCAGAGCAGCCAUCGUUGCCAAGAUAAUAUCCCGGUUACUACACGCAGCCUAUCUUAUUAACAAGUUGAUACCGAAGAACGAGUAUGCAAUCACAUUUCCUAAACAAUGCUAGCCAGACGGACAAAUGUCAUGUACUGAGUUGGAAAAGAAAAAUUGCAUUUGGUUACAGAAAAGUUGUGUAUACUUAUAAAAAGUUGUAGAAUGUUGUAGAUGGGUAACAUUUUUUUGAAAUUGAUAAUUAUCAGAACGUUUUAACGUGUGAAUAGCUGAGGAUUGAUUUGUUUGCUUAUUUGUUUUGGGUUUUACGUCACAUCGACACAGUAUAGGUCAUAUCGCGACGUUCCAGGUUUACUGGUGAAGGAAGACAUCAGGUGCCCUUCUGUGCAUUAUUUCAGGCUCGAACGCGCACCUGAAUAGAACCACCGACGUUCCGUAAGCUAGCUGGAUAGCUUCCUCACAUGAAAGAAUCCAAAGUCCCUGUCGGGAUUCGAACCCACAGCGGUGAGGGGGCAAGUGGUUUGAAGUCAACGACCUUAACAACUCGGCCACGGACACCCCUCAGAGGAUUGAAAUACAAAAAUUGCAAAAAAUUCCUUUUAUAAAUCUUUGUUAUUAUUUUAGAUACUUGACAAUUUUAACGUGGAGAUACUUGACAAUUUUAACGUAACAUCAUUCUUAACCUAAGUCCAUAUGGUGUAACGCCAGGGACAUGCAGUCCCGAACACUUUUGAGCCGCGUCACGAUAAAACAACAUA